rnacentral:rRNA from 1 species
AUUGAACGCUGGCGGCAUGCCUUACACAUGCAAGUCGAACGGCUGCACGGGAGCAAUCCUGGUGGCGAGUGGCGAACGGGUGAGUAAAGUAUCGGAACGUGCCCAGUCGUGGGGGAUAACGUAGCGAAAGUUACGCUAAUACCGCAUACGAUCUAUGGAUGAAAGCGGGGGAUCGCAAGACCUCGCGCGAUUGGAGCGGCCGAUAUCAGAUUAGGUAGUUGGUGGGGUAGAGGCUCACCAAGCCAACGAUCUGUAGCUGGUCUGAGAGGACGACCAGCCACACUGGAACUGAGACACGGUCCAGACUCCUACGGGAGGCAGCAGUGGGGAAUUUUGGACAAUGGGCGAAAGCCUGAUCCAGCCAUGCCGCGUGCAGGAUGAAGGCCCUCGGGUUGUAAACUGCUUUUGUACAGAACGAAAAGGUUUCUACUAAUACUAGGAGCUCAUGACGGUACUGUAAGAAUAAGCACCGGCUAACUACGUGCCAGCAGCCGCGGUAA